UCCCUCACCCUCUUCUCUCUCUUUCCCUUUCUUUUCAAAAACCCUAGGAGUCGCCGCCUACUCUCUCUUUCUCUCUCAUCUAAAAGUGCUAAAAUCACAGAGUAGAUGUAAGACACGCAGUUUUUGCCGAAUCAUUUACAUGAAAUAAUUAAUUUCAAGGUUUGUUUUCACCUAGAUCUCUCCCAAAUGAGGUAAUAGCCUUUUUUCCUUUGGUUUUGUCUUGAAAUUAUUUAGUCAAAAGUUGAUUUUUGUUGUCUUAUUUGUUGUACUGUGUUCAUAUUUACUCAAACCUCAUUGAUUGAGGACGAAUGGGUUGGAUCGAGUCAAACGAGGCUCAGAUCUUACCAUUUGCCUGUUGUUGCAAUCAUUUUAAGCCACAUAUGUCAUUUUGCAAUUGGUAUUUUGAGGGUUUUGAGCAGUUUUGGGAUUUUAUAAAUAGAACCCCUACCCUCACCAUGAAGGAGGUUGGAAAAAAGUUAAAAACAACCUUAAGAGGCUAGAACUUCGGGUUUAAACCUUCUCAUUAUAAAAUUUUAAGCUUUGACUUAAAAAGUUGGAGUUUCCUUAGUUCUAAAAUUUGUUUUCUUUGUGGUUUUGUGUUGGUGUGGCUGGGUGUGGGAGUUGGAAGCACUAAAGGCUCCAAGUUCAACUCUUGACACGGCUGCGCAUAAAAAAGCCAAGGCCCAAUAGCAAGUUCUUUCACAUAUUAUUGAGUUCAAGAGAAGAAAUGGAAGCAAAUAUUGUUAAAAAAAAGAAGCAACCAUGGGUGAAAAUGGCCAAUUAGGGGCUUGGUACGCCCCUAGUCUUGCCUUUCUCCUACUUAUGUAUUUUUAUCAUAUGCAACUGAUUGUAUCAUGUAUUUGUAAAGAUUGUAAAACUCAUGUAUGGUUAUUGGAAUCAUUAUGGUCAAGAA